rnacentral:snRNA from 1 species
AUACUUUACUGACAGGGGAGAUACCAUGAUCACAAAGGUGCUUUUCCCAGUGCAAGCCUUAUCAAUUGCACUCCAGAUAUGCUGACCCCUGCAUUUUUUUCAAAUGGGUUCAUUAUACUGUAGAAAUUAAGAAAA